rnacentral:rRNA from 1 species
GAUGAACGCUAGCGGCAGGCUUAAUACAUGCAAGUCGUGGGGCAGCAGGGGUAGCAAUACUCGCUGGCGACCGGCAAACGGGUGCGGAACACGUACACAACCUUCCUUCAAGUGGGGAAUAGCCCGGGGGAACCCGGAUUAAUACCCCGUAACAUAUAGGGGUGGCAUCGCCUCUAUAUUAUAGCUCCGGCGCUUGAUGAUGGGUGUGCGGCUGAUUAGGUAGUUGGCAGGGUAACGGCCUACCAAGCCUACGAUCAGUAGCUGAUGUGAGAGCAUGAUCAGCCACACGGGCACUGAGACACGGGCCCGACUCCUACGGGAGGCAGCAGUAAGGAAUAUUGGUCAAUGGACGCAAGUCUGAACCAGCCAUGCCGCGUGAAGGAUGAAGGUCCUCUGGAUUGUAAACUUCUUUUAUAUGGGACGAAAAUGGGUCUUUCUAGAUCAACUGACGGUACCAUUUGAAUAAGCACCGGCUAACUCCGUGCCAGCAGCCGCAGUAACAC